UACGUCGGGCGCAAGCGUUGUCCGGAAUUAUUGGGCGUAAAGAGCUCGUAGGCGGCCUGUUGCGUCCGCUGUGAAAGCCCGGGGCUUAACCCCGGGUCGGCAGUGGAUACGGGCAGGCUAGAGGUAGGUAGGGGAGAAUGGAAUUCCCGGUGUAGCGGUGAAAUGCGUAGAUAUCAAGAGGAACACCAGUGGCGAAGGCGAGUCCCUGGACAACUUCUGACGCUGAGGCACGAAAGCUAGGGGAGCAAACAGG
rnacentral:rRNA from 1 species